AUUGAACGCUGGCGGAAUGCUUUACACAUGCAAGUCGAACGGCAGCACGGGGCAACCUGGUGGCGAGUGGCGAACGGGUGAGUAAUACAUCGGAACGUGCCCAAUCGUGGGGGAUAACGUAGCGAAAGUUACGCUAAUACCGCAUACGAUCUACGGAUGAAAGCGGGGGAUCGCAAGACCUCGCGCGAAUGGAGCGGCCGAUGUCAGAUUAGGUAGUUGGUGGGGUAAAGGCUCACCAAGCCAACGAUCUGUAGCUGGGCUGAGAGGACGACCAGCCACCCUGGGACUGAGACACUGCCCAGACUCCUACGGGAGGCAGCAGUGGGGAAUUUUGUACAAUGGGCUAAAGCCUGAUCCAUCCAUUCCGCGUGCAGGAUGAAGGCCUUCGGGUUGUAAACUGCUUUUGUUCGGAACGAAACGGUUCUCUCUAAUACAGGGGGCUAAUGACGGUACCGUAAGAAUAAGCACCGGCUAACUACGUGCCAGCAGCCGCCGUAAAAC
rnacentral:rRNA from 1 species